UACGGAGGGGGUUAGCGUUGUUCGGAAUGACUGGGUGUAAAGCGCGCGUAGGCGGGCUGGAAAGUCAGGGGUGAAAUCCCGGGGCUCAACCCUGGAAUGGCCUUUGAAACUCCCAGCCUUGAGUUCGAGAGAGGUGAGUGGAAUUCCGAGUGUAGAGGUGAAAUUCGUAGAUAUUCGGAGGAACACCAGUGGCGAAGGCGGCUCACUGGCUCGACACUGACGCUGAGGUGCGAAAGCGUGGGGAGCAAACAGG
rnacentral:rRNA from 1 species